GCAGUUUAACGAUUAGUGCCAAAGAAACUGAUCUAGAAGGACCAUGAUUUUACAAAUGCAUUUGCUCAGGUUGCUGUUCUCUGUGUUUGGAGAAUCCAGCGGGCAGAUUGUUAUCACUCAGACACCUGCUUCUGUGACGGUGCUUCCAGGAGAGACGGUCACCAUUCAGUGCAAGGCAUCCAGCUCCAUUAGCAAUGAAAUGGACCUAUAUCAAUUCAGACCAGGAGAGGUUCCCAGGCUCCUCAUUUAUCAUGCCACCAACCGUUUCACCGGGGUCCCCGAUAGAUUCAGUGGUCGAUACAGCGGCACUGACUUCACAUUCACCAUUAGCGGGGUGCAGGCUGAUGAUGGAGGUGACUACUACUGUCAGCAGGACUAUACAACCCCGCUCACAGUGAUACAACUCAAUGCAAAAACCUCAUUAGUGCUCCAGCCUUCUUGGCAUGAAGCAGAAGGAAACAGCUGCAGUUGUAGCUAA